rnacentral:rRNA from 1 species
UACGUAGGGGGCUAGCGUUGUCCGGAUUUAUUGGGCGUAAAGAGCGUGUAGGCGGCCAGAUAGGUCUGCUGUGAAAACUCGAGGCUCAACCUCGAGAUGUCGGCGGAAACCAUUUGGCUAGAGUCCGGAAGAGGAAAGUGGAAUUCCUGGUGUAGCGGUGAAAUGCGCAGAUAUCAGGAAGAACACCGAUGGCGAAGGCAGCUCUCUGGGACGGUACUGACGCUGAGACGCGAAAGCGUGGGGAGCGAACAGG